rnacentral:rRNA from 1 species
GACGAACGCUGGCGGCGUGCUUAACACAUGCAAGUCGAACGGAAAGGCCCUGCUUUUGUGGGGUGCUCGAGUGGCGAACGGGUGAGUAACACGUGAGUAACCUGCCCUUGACUUUGGGAUAACUUCAGGAAACUGGGGCUAAUACCGGAUAGGAGCUCCUGCUGCAUGGUGGGGGUUGGAAGGUUUCGGCGGUUGGGGCUGGGCUCGCGGCUUAUCAGCUUGUUGGUGGGGUAGUGGCUUACCAAGGCUUUGACGGGUAGCCGGCCUGAGAGGGUGACCGGCCACAUUGGGACUGAGAUACGGCCCAGACUCCUACGGGAGGCAGCAGUGGGGAAUAUUGCACAAUGGGCGGAAGCCUGAUGCAGCAACGCCGCGUGCGGGAUGACGGCCUUCGGGUUGUAAACCGCUUUCGCCUGUGACGAAGCGUGAGUGACGGUAAUGGGUAAAGAAGCACCGGCUAACUACGUG